rnacentral:rRNA from 1 species
GAUGAACGCUGGCGGCGUGCCUAAUACAUACAAGUCGAGCGAACAGACGAGGAGCUUGCUCCUCUGACGUUAGCGGCGGACGGGUGAGUAACACGUGGAUAACCUACCUAUAAGACUGGGAUAACUUCGGGAAACCGGAGCUAAUACCGGAUAAAAUAUUGAACCGCAUGGUUCAAUAGUGAAAGACGGUUUUGCUGUCACUUAUAGAUGGAUCCGCGCCGCAUUAGCUAGUUGGUAAGGUAACGGCUUACCAAGGCAACGAUGCGUAGCCGACCUGAGAGGGUGAUCGGCCACACUGGAACUGAGACACGGUCCAGACUCCUACGGGAGGCAGCAGUAGGGAAUCUUCCGCAAUGGGCGAAAGCUUGACGGAGCAACGCCGCGUGAGUGAUGAAGGUCUUCGGAUCGUAAAACUCUGUUAUUAGGGAAGAACAAAUGUGUAAGUAACUAUGCACGUCUUGACGGUACCUAAUCAGAAAGCCACGGCUAACUACGUG